UCGCCUCGAUGGUCUUAUGACCAGCCGAA
rnacentral:sRNA from 1 species